AAAUAGCCGCUUUUCCCAGCUAGGGUUUCGCAUCUGUUUGUGUUUUCUUCUCUGGAGAAUGCCCAAAAUUCAAGUCCUCCUAGUUUAUGUGCCAUUUUCAUGAUGGUAUGCAGGUGCAACAGGGAGAUUUCAGUUUUCAUCAUCAUUCAAGGAAGGACUGAUCUGACUAUCCAAGCUUGAAAAUUGGAGGACAUUGUUUGAGGGCGAUCACAAAGAAUCCCAGAUCUUCUAUGGGAACAUUAUAUGCAGUCCUGUAUUACUAUACAAUCUGUAGUAAAUGGCUGUUGUUAAUGGAUAAUAUUUGCUGUUUGUGUAAUUAAUCAAAUCUUAUACCAAUUCUUUGAAGUUCUGUUUUUGUUAUGUUUCUACAAUUUCAUUAUUGUUUCUUGUUCAAGUAGGCAUGGUUGUAGCUAUUAAAAUGAAAAUGCAGUCCACAAAUUGUUUGAUGCUCUAAAAAUCUUUUUCUGGAGACCAAAAAUGUUCUUGUCCUAAUAUUGAAGGGCAUAUGAUGAAUCUCAUUAUUAAUGGGUAAUUUGCGCCUGAGUUUUCUUUGAUGCUAAUCACCUUGGAGAACUGAUGCCCUUUAAUGAAAGCCAAUUAAAUUUCUGGCAAAAUCACAUCCAAUCUUAUUAUUUGAGUUUUAUAAUAAUGAUUUUGCUUUGUGCUUCAUGACCCUAAGUAAUUCUUUAGUUAAAUUUACCAUGGUCUCUAUAAAUCCUAUAGAGUCCCAUAAGAUUUGCUGGUAUAUGAGUUUCAUUUUACUAACUAGGAUUACAAGAGAAUGCAGGUUGACAGUGAGGUUCCAGUUUUCAUCAUGCAAGGUAGGACAGUCUGAUUGCCCAAGCUUGAAAACAGGAUGUGGACAUUGUUUGAUGGUUAUCACAAAGAAUUGCAGAGCUUCUAUGGGAACAUUAUCAACUGUCCUGUUUACUAUAUAAUCUGUAGUAGGGCUGUAGAUAAGGUUUAAUAUUUGCAAAUUGUGUAAUCAAUCAAAGUUUGUGUACCAAUUCUCUAGUAAUCUGGUAAAAGUGAUUUUUUUUUGGUAUU